GCGUAAGCGCGCGCAGGCGGUCUGUUAAGUCUGAUGUGAAAUCCCCGGGCUUAACCUGGGAACUGCAUUUGAAACUGGCAGGCUUGAGUCUCGAAGAGGGGGGUGGAAUUCCAUGUGUAGCGGUGAAAUGCGUAGAGAUCUGGAGGAAUACCGGUGGCGAAGGCGGCCCCCUGGACUAAGACUGACGCUCAGGUGCGAAAGCGUGGGGAGCAAACAGGAUUAGAUACCCUGGUAGUCCACGCCGUAAACGAUGUCUACUUGGAGGUUGUGCCCUUGAGGCCUGUCUUCCGGAGCUAACGCGUUAAGUCCACCGCCUGGGGAGUACGGCCGCAAGGUUAGAACUCCAAUGAAUUGACGGGGGGCCGCCCCAGCGGUGGAACCUGUGGGUUAAUUCCAUGCCACGCGAAAAACCUUACCUGGCCUUGACAUCCAGAGGACUUACCUAGAGAUGCUUUGGUGCCUUCGGGAACUCUGAGACAGGUGCUGCAUGGCUGUCGUCAGCUCGUGUUGUGAGAUGUUGGGUUAAGUCCCCGCACGAGCGCAACCCUUAUCCUUUGUUGCCA
rnacentral:rRNA from 1 species